UACGUAGGGGGCAAGCGUUGUCCGGAAUCAUUGGGCGUAAAGAGCGUGUAGGCGGCUCGAUAAGUCUGCUGUGAAAGUCCAGGGCUCAACCCUGGAAGGCCGGUGGAAACUGGCGGGCUAGAGUCCGGAAGAGGCGAGUGGAAUUCCCGGUGUAGCGGUGAAAUGCGCAGAUAUCGGGAGGAACACCAAUGGCGAAGGCAGCUCGCUGGGACGGUACUGACGCUGAGACGCGAAAGCGUGGGGAGCAAACAGG
rnacentral:rRNA from 1 species